AGACAAGACUGGGACAAAUUAAUUGGGGAAUCUGGGACAUAUUUUAUUUGCUUCUAUUAGGCUAUGAAUUCACCAUUUACUAGGCAGGUUUGUUCCAAAAAGAGAGUGAUCGAUCCCCAACCACCGAUACCAGGCCUCGGACCAUUUGGGACCGGGCCGCCGAGACACACCUGUGAGCAGCGAGCAAAUUGACUCCACCAGACGUAGCGGAAAUAUGCCCGACUCGACAACGAAAGAAGAAGCAGUGAACAGAAAUUAAGAGUAACAAAUUGACCCAACGUACAGCUAAACGCGCAGCUGACGGGCAGCCGCGACUUCCAAAGAUGAAGCUUGUAUGACUCGAGAAGUUCCUCCCUCGGCGGUAUCUCCGAAGCGACGUGGAGAAGGAAGGAAGCUGUUAUGCGUGGCAAGAAACCGGUUGAAUCAUUUCAGCAAAGCGCUUCCCUCCCUCUGUGGCCGCACCGUUACCUGAGGUCUCGUCUUGCCACACGCACGCCGGCAACAGACUCCCCAUGUGCACGACAACAGCAACGAGAAAACGAACGAGCACAACAGGAGGAAUGAAAUACACGCAGACAGAGCGAGAAAGAGGAGGGACGAAGGUGAAGAUGGAGACAAUCAGCAGGCAAGCAACCAACAAGAGAAGUAGGAAAACAAAGAAACAGA